rnacentral:rRNA from 1 species
GACUAACGCUGGCGGCGUGCCUAACACAUGCAAGUCGAACGAAGCAGCAAUGCUUAGUGGCAGACGGGUGAGUAACGCGUAGAUAAUGUGCCCUCUUGCGGGGGAUACCGUUUCGAAAGGAACGUUAAUACCGCAUAAAGUCCUUGGGAGGCAUCUCCUAGGGACCAAACUUCCGGGGCGGGAGGAGCAAUCUGCGUACUAUCAGGUAGUUGGUGAGGUAACGGCUCACCAAGCCUACGACGGUUAACUGGUCUGAGAGGAUGAUCAGUCACACUGGAACUGAGACACGGUCCAGACUCCUACGGGAGGCAGCAGUGAGGAAUAUUGCGCAAUGGGCGAAAGCCUGACGCAGCGACGCCGCGUGGAGGAUGACGGUCUUCGGAUUGUAAACUGCUUUUGUACGGAACGAAAAGGCUCUGGUUAAUACCUGGGGCACAUGACGGUACCGUAAGAAUAAGCACCGGCUAACUACGUGCCAGCAGCCGCGGUAAU